GGGAAGCCAGGGUGACCAUCUCCACCUCCUCUGAGCCCUUGGCUUCACCUCGGCCUCCCGUGGAGCACCAGCACCCCAGAUUCUGUGUGCCUGAGCUCUUCUCUCCCUGCAGCCCAUCAUGCUUAAAGUCAUGUGGGAUCUUAGCUUCCCAACUGGAGUCAAACCCAGAGCUCCUGCAUUGGAAGGCAAAAUCUUCACCACUGGGCCACCAGGGACAUUCCCCAGACUUACUCAUGCUAUAACUGGACGUCUGUACCUUUUGACCAACACCUCCGCAACUCCCUUACUGCCCAGCCCUCCGCAGUACCGUUCUACUCCGUUUCUCUGAGUUCAGCGUUUUUGGAUUCCACAUGGUGUCAGACCCCAAACCAGGUCCUGGAAAGAGAGGAACAUGUAAAACCAGCCUCUGCCUUUGAGAAGUUCUGACUGGGGAUCAGAGCAGCAAGUGGAUGCGACCAUGUGAUGUGAGAAGACUGGCAUGUGACCCCAAACGCAGAUAAGCAAGCAAUAAAAUAAAUCCAUCUUUAAACCGUGUCCCUGUACUACUGAAUCUAAGAACAAAGAAAUAUGUUGAAAUACAUACAUAUUUUCAAGUUUAGAAUUGUUUCGACAACAUCGUCAAAAUUUCAACAGGCAGCUCUCUGAAAACUAGACGCUUUAUAAGGUGAGGCUAUAUAUAAACUUCAUCUUAAUAACAACAGUAAUAGUACCAUUCAGUAUUUUUACUUUUUUUCUAUUUAAAGAACAUUCCUCUAGCCCUUCCCUUUAUGCCCCCAGUUCAAUCAUGUGGUGGGGUGGACAGCCAGUCCUUAUCUCUAAAUUUAAUAGAUAAAAAAGAGAUAAAAUCUAAAGACUGACUUUGCUCUGGGUUGUUGACAAGGUAAAAAGUCAUGCAAAAGCAUUCAACUCCCCCACACACUCAGCAGGCUUGCUGAGCGACAUCAAAUGAGGUCAAAGACCACAGAAAUUAGGUUGGCAAAAGUUACUGUGAGGAAGGAUUGGUUUGAUGAUGACUAACCGAAAAAAGACAAGAAGCUGAACCUAAAGGGGCAGAAUAGGAAGCCAGAGGUUUCACAAGAAGUGUCCCUAAAGCAAAUUAAGACAA